ensembl:lncRNA
CGCUUUUGUCCCUUUGGAUUUGGAUGUGGGUUGGAUGCGGAACCAUCAUCUGGGCAGCUCCUGAAUGUUUAAAGGAACAACACCAGACUCUUGGGUCCCUCAGAAUAAAAAGCAUCCAUUCGUUCAAUUGGCAAAUUCCCAGUACAACAGCAGGUCAGGACAUUGAGUUGGUUGACACAUACAGAUUCCUUGGUGUCUAUGUCAACAACAAGCUGGACUGGAAGCUCAACUCAGAGGCUGUAUACAAGAAAGGGAUGAGCAGACUCUACUUUCUGAAGAAGCUCAGAUCCUUUAAUGUUUG